AAUGAUACCCGGGUAGUCCAUGCCGUAAACGUUGGGAACUAGGUGUGGGUCUCAUUCCACGAGAUCCGUGCCGCAGCUAACGCAUUAAGUUCCCCGCCUGGGGAGUACGGCCGCAAGGCUAAAACUCAAAGGAAUUGACGGGGGCCCGCACAAGCGGCGGAGCAUGCGGAUUAAUUCGAUGCAACGCGAAGAACCUUACCAAGGCUUGACAUAUACCGGAAACAUCUAGAGAUAGGUGCCCCGCAAGGUCGGUAUACAGGUGGUGCAUGGUUGUCGUCAGCUCGUGUCGUGAGAUGUUGGGUUAAGUCCCGCAACGAGCGCAACCCUCGUUCUAUGUUGCCAGCACGUUAUGGUGGGGACUCAUAGGAGACUGCCGGGGUCAACUCGGAGGAAGGUGGGGAUGACGUCAAAUCAUCAUGCCCCUUAUGUCUUGGGCUUCACGCAUGCUACAAUGGCCGGUACAAAGGGUUGCGAUACUGUGAGGUGGAGCUAAUCCCAAAAAGCCGGUCUCAGUUCGGAUUGGGGUCUGCAACUCCG
rnacentral:rRNA from 1 species